GGACGAACGCUGGCGGCGUGCUUAACACAUGCAAGUCGAACGGAAAGGCCCUUCGGGGUACUCGAGUGGCGAACGGGUGAGUAACACGUGGGUGAUCUGCCCUGCACUUUGGGAUAAGCCUGGGAAACUGGGUCUAAUACCGAAUAGGACCACGCGCUUCAUGGUGUGUGGUGGAAAGCUUUUGCGGUGUGGGAUGGGCCCGCGGCCUAUCAGCUUGUUGGUGGGGUAAUGGCCUACCAAGGCGACGACGGGUAGCCGGCCUGAGAGGGUGACCGGCCACACUGGGACUGAGAUACGGCCCAGACUCCUACGGGAGGCAGCAGUGGGGAAUAUUGCACAAUGGGCGCAAGCCUGAUGCAGCGACGCCGCGUGAGGGAUGACGGCCUUCGGGUUGUAAACCUCUUUCAAUAGGGACGAAGCGAAAGUGACGGUACCUAUAGAAGAAGCACCGGCCAACUACGUG
rnacentral:rRNA from 1 species